AGAGUUUGAUUAUGGCUCAGGACGAACGCUGGCGGCGGGCCUAACACAUGCAAGUCGAACGCACUCGACCUUCGGGUCAUAUGAGUGAGUGGCGAACGGGUGAGUAACACGUGAGAAACCUGCCCCGAAGACUGGAAUAACCCGAGGAAACUCGGGCUAAUACCGGAUGCCCCCAACUGAUCGCAUGAUCAGUUGAGGAAAUGCUCCGGCGCUUCGGGAGGGUCUCGCGGCCUAUCAGCUAGUUGGUGAGGUAACGGCUCACCAAGGCAACGACGGGUAGCUGGUCUGAGAGGACGAUCAGCCACACUGGGACUGAGACACGGCCCAGACUCCUACGGGAGGCAGCAGUGGGGAAUCUUGCGCAAUGGACGAAAGUCUGACGCAGCCACGCCGCGUGAGGGAUGAAGGCUUUCGGGUCGUAAACCUCUUUCAGCAGGGAAGAAAAUGACGGUACCUGCAGAAGAAGCUCCGGCCAACUACGUGCCAGCAGCCGCGGUAACACGUAGGGAGCAAGCGUUGUCCGGAUUUAUUGGGCGUAAAGAGCUCGUAGGCUGUUCAGUAAGUCAGGUGUGAAAACUCGAGGCUCAACCUCGAGACGCCACUUGAUACUGCUGUGACUAGAGUCCGGUAGAGGAGUGUGGAAUUCCUGGUGUAGCGGUGAAAUGCGCAGAUAUCAGGAGGAACACCAGCAGCGAAGGCGGCACUCUGGGCCGGUACUGACGCUGAGGAGCGAAAGCAUGGGGAGCGAACAGGAUUAGAUACCCUGGUAGUCCAUGCCGUAAACGUUGGGCACUAGAUGUGGGAUCUCGCUAACAGAUUCCGUGUCGCAGCUAACGCAUUAAGUGCCCCGCCUGGGGAGUACGGCCGCAAGGCUAAAACUCAAAGGAAUUGACGGGGGCCCGCACAAGCGGUGGAUUAUGUGGUUUAAUUCGAAGCAACGCGCAGAACCUUACCUGGGCUUGAAAUCCCACGAACCUGAUAGAGAUAUCGGGGUGCCUCUCGAGGAAUGUGGAGACAGGCGCUGCAUGGCCGUCGUCAGCUCGUGUUGUGAAAUGUUGGGUUAAGUCUCGCAACGAGCGCAACCCCUAUCUUUAGUUGCCAGCAUUAAGUUGGGCACUCUAGAGAGACUGCCUGGGCUAACCAGGAGGAAGGUGGGGAUGACGUCAAGUCCUCAUGGCCCUUAUGUCCAGGGCUACACACGUAAUACAAUGGUCGGUACAGAGGGAAGCGAACUCGCGAGGGGGAGCAAAUCUCAAAAAACCGAUCUCAGUCCGGAUUGGAGUCUGCAACUCGACUCCAUGAAGUUGGAAUCGCUAGUAAUCGCGGAUCAGCACGCCGCGGUGAAUACGUUCCCGGGCCUUGUACACACCGCCCGUCACACCAUGGGAGUUGGUUUUACCUGAAGUCGUGGCCCUAACAGCUUGCUGAGGGGAGCGCCUACGGUCGGACCGAUGACUGGGGUGAAGUCGUAACAAGGUAACC
rnacentral:rRNA from 1 species